GAAGGUCUUCGGAUCGUAAACUUCUGUCAUUUGAGAACAAGUGUCGAAGCAAUAACUGGCUUCGAUUUGAUAGUACCAAAAGAGGAAGAGACGGCUAACUCUGUGCCAGCAGCCGCGGUAAUACAGGGGUCUCAAGCGUUGUUCGGAUUCAUUGGGCGUAAAGGGUGCGUAGGCGGUGCCGUAAGUCGGAUGUGAAAUCCCGAAGCUCAACUUCGGAACUGCAUUCGAUACUGCGGUGCUGGAGGACUGGAGAGGAGAUCGGAAUUCAUGGUGUAGCAGUGAAAAUGCGUAGAUAUCAUGAGGAAGACCAGUGGCGAAGGCGGAUCUCUGGACGGUUCCUGACGCUGAGGCACGAAGGCUAGGGUAGCGAACGGGAUUAGAUACCCCGGUAGUCCUAGCAGUAAACGGUGCACGUUUGGUGUGGGAGGAUUCGACCCCUUCCGUGCCGGAGCUAACGCGUUAAACGUGCCGCCUGGGGAGUACGAUCGCAAGAUUA
rnacentral:rRNA from 1 species